CAGUAGCCGCGGGAAUACGGAGGGGGCUAGCGUUGUUCGGAAUUACUGGGCGUAAAGCGUACGUAGGCGGUUUUGUAAGUUAGAGGUGAAAGCCCGGAGCUCAACUCCGGAAUUGCCUUUAAGACUGCAUCACUUGAAUCGUGGAGAGGUGAGUGGAAUUCCGAGUGUAGAGGUGAAAUUCGUAGAUAUUCGGAAGAACACCAGUGGCGAAGGCGGCUCACUGGACACGUAUUGACGCUGAGGUACGAAAGCGUGGGGAGCGAACAGGAUUAGAUACCCCUGUAGUCCCUGUCUCUUAUAC
rnacentral:rRNA from 1 species